UUUAUGUUAGUUUUCCUCCAAAUCACUUUAUGGACAUGUAUGCUUAAAAUUUAUCUCAUUUACUACAGUUUCAGUGUUCAUUAUGUAAGAUCAGCGAAACUUAUAUGACGCAACUGCAUUUGGAAGUUUUGAGUGUUGAUACUGUACACUUCAUUCUGGUGCAGUCUUUGAGCCAACCACACUAGUAUAUAUAUAUAUAUAUAUAUAUAUAUUACUAUUACUACUAUAUAGAAAAGGCAAAGAAGGGAGGACCAAGGGCAAGACUGGUAUUAAACUCAAUUUGUAAGGGCAAAAUGGUAAAUUGAUAUACUAGAUAUUUUCCCUGACUCCGGGAGCAUUUCUCAUUCUCAAAGAAGAAACCAAAAACUCCAGAAUCUUCCAUCAUCUAUUCCUUAGUUCUCAUUCAACUGGGUUGGAGGUUUUGUUACAGAUACUUAGUUUCUUUUAGUUUUGAAAAAACGAAAUCAAAUAUCACAAAUCAAAUCUCUUUCCACACAUUUCUAACUUCAUUGCUUAUAUCAAAUCUGUUAAAAAAAUUAAUUCUGCCUAAACAAAGAAGCAGUUUCUUCCUUCUUUACCAACCAGUCUCUGCUGCAUGCUCAAGCUAAGUUUUGAGAUUUAAUUUUCGAUCCCACUUCCACUUUCGAAUUUUCCUUAUUGUGUACAUUUUUUUUUGUUAAAUCGGUGGUCCUGUUUUCGUAAUUUUGAAGUGGCUAUGGUACACUUGAAUAACUUCUUGAAGUCAUUACAUGGGAAAAUUUUGAAGGAACAACAGGUUGCCAUUGUACUAUACGGUGAUCACAUUCCUAGUUAUUGAGAUAAAAUCUGAUGCACUUUGGCCGAAGCUGUUAAGUGCAUGUGUUGCCUAAAACAAAAGCAAAAGAAAUGCAACAGAGGUAACAUCGAAAGAAGACCAUGCCAAACCAAACUUCCCUGAUGCCUUAUAUUUAAUGGCAAAGUUCAUUUUGAUCAUUUAUAUUUAGCUCUUGAGUUAUUGUGCAUCAUGUCACUACCUAUUUUGACAACUUAUUAAGUCUAUUCGAAUCCAGUGGUUGGAUCACGAACCCCAGAACUGAAUCUGUAGCCUCUUUUUUUCUCUGUAUAUUGUGAGCAGAUGAAUAAAAUGUAAGAUGACACAAAGCUUAGCUUAUUAAAAGGUCUUGUAAUUCUUGUAUUGGUAUUGCAGUGGAAUAAUGCACCAGAAUAUGCAACGGGGAGGGAAAUUCUCAGUCAAGACAUCUUUAGCUUUGGAGUAUUACUUUUGGAAAUAAAAGCCACGAAACAGUGACCAUUCGAUAUACAUUAGCCAUUUUCCAGGCCACUAAAAAGUGACCAUUCGAUAUUGCAUUCUAACAUUGACUUUUGUACGUACAUACUACUCCCUCCGUUUCACAAUAAGUGAAUUGUUGGAGCAAUUUUAGUGUUUCAAAAUAAGUGAAUGGUUCACAGUUCAAGGUAAAUGUUGAAAUUUUUUCCAAAUUUACCCUCCAUUAAAUGUGCAUUGGGAGUGAUGUAUCACGUGUCUUUACUUUUUGAAGAGGGUAAAAAUGGAAAAACAUGGUAAAUUUAUGUGUUUGCUUUUUUUUCUUAACUAUGUGUGCCAAAAUCCAACAAUUAACUUAUUGUGAAAUGGAGGGAGUAUUGUUUUAGUUACAUAUCCAGGAUUUGAAUCAAGGCUAUUGUGUCCUGUCAAACCCAUACCCUUAGGUCCAACUUCCCCUUGUUCUGCAUUCUUCAUGAUGAUAGUAAUAAGUCAAAUAGAUUUGCUAUCGCUAUCUGCGUGUGUAGAUGGCUGUAACUUUUUGGGGGCUACUCUUUCCCUUGUGAUACUAAUCAUAGUGAAGUAAAUUCAGUACGUCAAUGUCCAAAUGGCUGAAAGUUUCCAUACUGCUACUUUUACCUUUCACUUUAAAAAUCUACUACACAUUUUGGUUUGCUUCUAUUUGAAUCGCAGGUGCCACUUCGAACGUAACAUUACGCCAGCAAUACAAUUACCGCAAUAGUCUUAUAAACGGUGGCAGAAACAAUGUUGUCCCUCACUGCCGAACAAAUAUAUGAAAGUGCGGCUGUGCAGGUACACAAACACAUAGUGGUAAAAGCAGGAAAAACUCAUCUUCGUAGUAUCCUAAAAUACCAGUAAGCAAAAAUACCACAUUACGCCAACUGCUACUCACUGUCUCAUUUUUGGCCCUUUUCACUCAGAAAGAACCGUUAUCUAUUGUCCGUACAAAUCAAGAGUUUGCUCAUAAACCGUUUAGACUCCAGCUGCAAAAGCAGAUCUUCAGGUUUCCCGACCAAACACCUGGUAUGCUAGCUGUUGCAUCCUUUACUGAAACAGAAACCCAAUUUUUAGACCAUCACCGUCACCAAUGGCUCAUGAGAAACAGGUAAGAGGCAGAAAGUCAAACCGCCCACUCCAACGAAAAAAACUUAAAGGUAACAAUAGCUUCCAUCUUUUGUUUAUUAUUGUACUCUACUUGGCCUUUACCUGAGCUCUAUAGUUACUCGGGAACAUUUACAUUAAAUAACUUGUGAAAACAACUGACAAAUUCUGUACAGAUAUGCAAAAUAUGCAUGUCUAAAAUAGAGAUUCUAAGCCAUUCCCACAGCUUCUUUUAAGUUAAGCUACUCGGGUAAAAUUUAUUUGAGAUAUGUAUACUUACAAAGAC